rnacentral:rRNA from 1 species
GAUGAACGCUAGCGGCAGGCUUAACACAUGCAAGUCGAGGGGCAGCAGUGACGGUAACUUUCGGGUUUUGUUGAUGGCGACCGGCGCAAGGGUGCGUAACGCGUGAGCAACUUGCCCGUUUCUGGGGAAUAACCGGUGGAAACGCCGACUAAUACCCCAUAGUAUAACGAAGAGGCAUCUUUUUGUUAUUAAAGAACUUCGGAAAACGGAUAGGCUCGCGUGACAUUAGCUAGAUGGCGGGGUAACGGCCACCAUGGCGACGAUGUCUAGGGGUUCUGAGAGGAAGGUCCCCCACACUGGAACUGAGACACGGUCCAGACUCCUACGGGAGGCAGCAGUGAGGAAUAUUGGUCAAUGGUCUGACGACUGAACCAGCCAUGCCGCGUGAAGGUGACGGCCCUAUGGGUCUUAAACUUCUUUUGUAAGGGAGCAAUAAGUCUCACGUGUGGGAUGAUGAGAGUACCUUACGAAUAAGCAUCGGCUAACUCCGUG